rnacentral:rRNA from 1 species
AUACGGAGGGUGCAAGCGUUGUCCGGAAUUACUGGGCGUAAAGGGCGUGUAGGCGGUCCUUUAAGUUAGGAGUGAAAACUCGAGGCUUAACCUCGAGACUGCUUCUAAAACUGGAGGACUUGAGUGCAGAAGAGGAAAGUAGUAUUCCUGGUGUAGCGGUGAAAUGCGUAGAUAUCAGGAGGAAUACUCGUGGCGAAGGCGGCUUUCUGGUCUGUAACUGACGCUGAGGCGCGAAAGCGUGGGGAGCAAACAGGAUUAGAUACCCUGGUAGUCCACGCCGUAAACGAUGAGUGCUAAGUGUUGGAGGUAUCGACCCCUUCAGUGCUGUAGUUAACGCAUUAAGCACUCCGCCUGGGGAGUACGGUCGCAAGACUGAA